UACGUAGGGGGCUAGCGUUGUCCGGAAUCAUUGGGCGUAAAGCGCGUGUAGGCGGUCCGGUAAGUCCGCUGUGAAAGUCGAGGGCUCAACCCUCGAAUGCCGGUGGAUACUGUCGGGCUUGAGUACGGAAGAGGCGAGUGGAAUUCCUGGUGUAGCGGUGAAAUGCGCAGAUAUCAGGAGGAACACCAAUUGCGAAGGCAGCUCGCUGGGACGUUACUGACGCUGAGACGCGAAAGCGUGGGGAGCAGACAGG
rnacentral:rRNA from 1 species